rnacentral:lncRNA from 1 species
CCAAGCACCGUAGAGACUCCUCUUCCUCUUCCGCCACCGUAUGCCCAGCAGCAAUGCGCCGUCAAAAUUUCCAAGCUUUGAAACGAAAAUGGAAACAAGAAAAACAACAAAAGACUGCAGCACCACUGCAGUCCAACCCAUAAAGUCUCCACGCCUCCCCGCCACAGCCUCUGUUGCACCGCAGCACCUCGCUCAGGAGCAGGAUGGGAUCGAUCCGGAGUGCCAGGAGCUUGUGAAAACGGAAACAAAACAAAACAAGAGGAUUGAACACAAGAACUAAACCCAGCAGCCUAAACGGCUCUCUGUCGAUCCACUGCACCAAACAAUCGCUUGCGACACUGCCGCAGCAACAAGCCAAGCACCACACGCCGCAACAGACGGAAGGUCUUCGACACCAUUGCCAACCUCGCACACCGAGCGCU